rnacentral:rRNA from 1 species
AGUGAACGCUGGCGGUAGGCCUAACACAUGCAAGUCGAACGGCAGCACAGUAAGAGCUUGCUCUUACGGGUGGCGAGUGGCGGACGGGUGAGGAAUACAUCGGAAUCUACUUUUUCGGGGGGGAUAACGUAGGGAAACUUACGCUAAUACCGCAUACGACCUACGGGUGAAAGCAGUGGAUAUUCGGACCUUGCGCGAUUGAAUGAGCCGAUGUCGGAUUAGCUAGUUGGCGGGGUAAAGGCCCACCAAGGCAACGAUCCGUAGCUGGUCUGAGAGGAGGAGCAGCCACACUGGAACUGAGACACGGUCCAGACUCCUACGGGAGGCAGCAGAGGGGAAUAUUGGACAAUGGGCGCGAGCCCGAUCCAGCCAUACCGCGUGGGUGAAGAAGGCCUUCGGGUUGCAAAGCCCUUUUGUUGGGAAAGAAAAGAAGCAGGUUAAUACCCCGCUGUGCUGACGGGACCCAAAGAAUAAGCACCGGCUAACUUCGUGC